UACGGGGGGAGCAAGCGUUGUUCGGAUUUACUGGGCGUAAAGGGCGCGUAGGCGGUCAGCACAAGUCAGUUGUGAAAUCUCCGGGCUUAACUCGGAAAGGUCAACUGAUACUGUGCGACUAGAGUGCAGAAGGGGCAACUGGAAUUCUCGGUGUAGCGGUGAAAUGCGUAGAUAUUGUAAGGAAGACCAGUGGCGAAGGCGGGUCUCUGGACAGUUCCUGACGCUGAGGCACGAAGGCCAGGGGAGCAAACGGG
rnacentral:rRNA from 1 species